UAGAUAGGGGAGCUGGUGCAAAAGCCGGCUGAGAGUAAGACUGAAUGUGUCUUUAACCCUUAUACCUGAUCUGGGUAAUGCCAGCGUAGGAAUCGAGAUACUU
rnacentral:ncRNA from 1 species